rnacentral:rRNA from 1 species
AGAGCGAACGCUGGCGGCAGGCUUAACACAUGCAAGUCGAACGGAUCCUUCGGGAUUAGUGGCGGACGGGUGAGUAACACGUGGGAACGUGCCUUUAGGUUCGGAACAACACAGGGAAACUUGUGCUAAUACCGGAUGUGCCCUUCGGGGGAAAGAUUUAUCGCCUUUAGAGCGGCCCGCGUCUGAUUAGCUUGUUGGUGAGGUAAAGGCUCACCAAGGCUACGAUCAGUAGCUGGUCUGAGAGGAUGGCCAGCCACAUUGGGACUGAGACACGGCCCAAACUCCUACGGGAGGCAGCAGUGGGGAAUCUUGCGCAAUGGGGGAAACCCUGACGCAGCCAUGCCGCGUGGAUGAUGAAGGUCUUAGGAUUGUAAAAUCCUUUCAGCGGGGACGAUAAUGACGGUACCCGCAGAAGAAGCCCCGGCUAACUUCGUGCCAGCAGCCGC